rnacentral:rRNA from 1 species
ACGAACGCUGGCGGCGUGGAUAAGACAUGCAAGUCGAACGAGAGAAUUGCUAGCUUGCUAAUAAUUCUCUAGUGGCGCACGGGUGAGUAACACGUGAGUAACCUGCCCCCGAGAGCGGGAUAGCCCUGGGAAACUGGGAUUAAUACCGCAUAGUAUCGAAAGAUUAAAGCAGCAAUGCGCUUGGGGAUGGGCUCGCGGCCUAUUAGUUAGUUGGUGAGGUAACGGCUCACCAAGGCGAUGACGGGUAGCCGGUCUGAGAGGAUGUCCGGCCACACUGGAACUGAGACACGGUCCAGACACCUACGGGUGGCAGCAGUCGAGAAUCAUUCACAAUGGGGGAAACCCUGAUGGUGCGACGCCGCGUGGGGGAAUGAAGGUCUUCGGAUUGUAAACCCCUGUCAUGUGGGAGCAAAUUAAAAAGAUAGUACCACAAGAGGAAGAGACGGCUAACUCUGUGCCAGCAGCCGCGGUAAUACAGAGGUCUCAAGCGUUGUUCGGAAUCACUGGGCGUAAAGCGUGCGUAGGCUGUUUCGUAAGUCGUGUGUGAAAGGCGCGGGCUCAACCCGCGGACGGCACAUGAUACUGCGAGACUAGAGUAAUGGAGGGGGAACCGGAAUUCUCGGUGUAGCAGUGAAAUGCGUAGAUAUCGAGAGGAACACUCGUGGCGAAGGCGGGUUCCUGGACAUUAACUGACGCUGAGGCACGAAGGCCAGGGGAGCGAAAGGGAUUAGAUACCCCUGUAGUCCUGGCAGUAAACGGUGCACGCUUGGUGUGCGGGGAAUCGACCCCCUGCGUGCCGGAGCUAACGCGUUAAGCGUGCCGCCUGGGGAGUACGGUCGCAAGAUUAAAACUCAAAGAAAUUGACGGGGACCCGCACAAGCGGUGGAGUAUGUGGCUUAAUUCGAUGCAACGCGAAGAACCUUACCUGGGCUUGACAUGUAAUGAACAACAUGUGAAAGCAUGCGACUCUUCGGAGGCGUUACACAGGUGCUGCAUGGCCGUCGUCAGCUCGUGUCGUGAGAUGUUUGGUUAAGUCCAGCAACGAGCGCAACCCCUGUUGCCAGUUACCAGCACGUGAAGGUGGGGACUCUGGCGAGACUGCCCAGAUCAACUGGGAGGAAGGUGGGGACGACGUCAGGUCAGUAUGGCCCUUAUGCCCAGGGCUGCACACGUACUACAAUGCCCAGUACAGAGGGGGCCGAAGCCGCGAGGCGGAGGAAAUCCUGAAAACUGGGCCCAGUUCGGACUGUAGGCUGCAACCCGCCUACACGAAGCCGGAAUCGCUAGUAAUGGCGCAUCAGCUACGGCGCCGUGAAUACGUUCCCGGGUCUUGUACACACCGCCCGUCACAUCAUGGAAGCCGGUCGCACCCGAAGUAUCUGAAGCCAACCGCAAGGAGGCAGGGUCCUAAGGUGAGACUGGUAACUGGG